rnacentral:rRNA from 1 species
UACGUAGGGGGCAAGCGUUGUCCGGAUUCAUUGGGCGUAAAGAGCGUGUAGGCGGCCAGGUAGGUCGGGGGUGAAAUCCUGUGGCUCAACCACAGGGCUGCCUCCGGGACUGUCGGGCUCGAGCACAGUAGAGGCAGGUGGAAUUCCCGGUGUAGCGGUGGAAUGCGUAGAGAUCGGGAAGAACAUCGGUGGCGAAGGCGGCCUGCUGGGCUGUUGCUGACGCUGAGGCGCGACAGCGUGGGGGAGCAAACAGG